GACGGAGGGGGCUAGCGUUGUUCGGAAUGACUGGGCGUAAAGCGCGCGUAGGCGGCUUUGUAAGUUAGGGGUGAAAGCCCGGAGCUCAACUCCGGAAUUGCCUUUAAGACUGCAUCGCUAGAAUCAUGGAGAGGUGAGUGGAAUUCCGAGUGUAGAGGUGAAAUUCGUAGAUAUUCGGAAGAACACCAGUGGCGAAGGCGACUCACUGGACAUGUAUUGACGCUGAGGUGCGAAAGCGUGGGGAGCAAACAGG
rnacentral:rRNA from 1 species